rnacentral:rRNA from 1 species
GACGAACGCUGGCGGCAUGCUUAACACAUGCAAGUGGAGCGACGAACCUUUUAGGGGCAAAGCCGCGAACGGGUGAGUAACACGUGGGCAAUCUGCCCAGUUGACUGGAAUAACUCGAGGAAACUCGAGCUAAUACCGGAUGUGCUUGCUUCUCACAAGAGGAGUAAGUAAAGGGAGCUUCGGCUAUCCGCAAUUGGAGGAGCCUGCGGCGCAUUAGCUUGUUGGUGGGGUAAUGGCCUACCAAGGCAUCGAUGCGUAGCUGGUCUGAGAGGACGAUCAGCCACACUGGAACUGAGACACGGUCCAGACUCCUACGGGAGGCAGCAGUGGGGAAUCUUGCACAAUGGGCGACAGCCUGAUGCAGCAAAUGCCGCGUGAGGGAAGACGGCCUCGGUGUAACGUACUUCUAGUUGGAGUGAAGGUUAGGUACGGUUAACGUAGACCGCGCCGAACUACGACCGUACC